GGCUCUCUCUCUUCCUCCCCUCGUAUCUCCGGCCACCGACCACGGCUGUGGGCGGGGCCGGUACCAAAAUGACCGGGACGACGUCCCCUUCCUUCCCCGACCGUUCCCCGCCGGCGACGCGGCCUGUGCUGGCCGGAAAAUGCAGAAAACCGCCGGAAAGUCGUCGAAACUUCAACGCCGUCGAUCUCCCUCCUCCGGCCACCAAUUCCGUCGACCCAGGUAUGGAUUUUGAACCUCUCGAGCUGUUCUAGCUGCCUGUUGGUUGGGUUUUGAUCGAUUCGAUCUCUAGAUCACUCGAUUUUCGAAUUGAAAAUCGGCCGAAACUUCGGCCGCCGUGAUCGGCCAUUUCCGGCCACUUUUUGGGGUAGGUCCAAGAACAAAAGUGGCUCCAAAUAGGGUGUUAUACCUAGGGUAGGAAUUUGGAGCCGUGAUUUUGAGAUUUUCCGGCGAAGCGUUAUCGCUUUGGCACCCACGCGCUGCCGGCGCGUGCGGCGGCGCGUGGGCACUGUAGAAAAAGUAGCGAUGUGUUCCGAUGAGAUCCUUAUGUUGUCACGAGUGUGUAGGAUUUCGCGGAUCUCAAUUCGGACGUCGUUUGACUAUCGAACGGAUAAUCGCAUAUUAUGCGUUAUCCAGGUUCGAUAGGUUGGGACCGUCGGAUGGUUCCAAAUUUAAUAUAUGUUAAUCUAGGUAUUUCUAGGAUCGUGUAGGAAUUCACGGAUCGUGAAUCGGAACCCCGGAUGUUGGAUUUACUACAUGCACCACCAAGUGAAAGUUAGGUCCCACGUGGCGUAGGUUAUCCGGCGUUGGGACAGACCCCAUACGUGGCGUUGGUUGUACCGGCAUAUGGGGAGAUUCGUAAUAUUGUGUUGAGAUCGCACGUGGCGUAGGUUAUCCGGCGUGUCGACAGACCCCAUACGUGGCGUUGGUUGUACCGGCGUAUGGAGAGAUUUGUAAUAUGAAAUUGAGGUCCCGCGUGGCGUAGGUUAUCCGGCGUUGGGACAGGCCCCAUUCGUGGCGUUGGUUGUACCGGCGUAUGGGGAGUUAUGUGAUAUGAUAGAAUGGUAUGGUCGCACGUGGCGUAGGUUAUUCGGCGUGUUGACAGGCCCCAUACGUGGCGUUGGUUGUACCGGCGUAUGGGGAGAUUAUAUGAAAUACAGAGAAAUGAAAUAAGGUAUCGCCCAAAGGUGGAAUUGGGUUUGAUGGAAGAACUACGUGUGGCUUGAUCCCUCAAGGAGGGUACGUAGGCAGCCUAAGGUUAUUAGGCGCAGCCGCAGACUAAAUAUUAGUCAUAUUUUGUAUUUGAAUUGUUUGGUAGUUGUUGGAGAAUUAUUGGAAGGCCGAAGGCCAUUUGUGUGAAUUGCAUGAAAUUAUAUUGUGCAUGCUGCCAGUUGUGGAUAUUAAAUGUGUUUUCAUGCAGGUAUAAAUUUUGGGAAAUGUCCAAAUUAUAGGGGAGACUCUGCCGAAAUUUCGGCAGGAAGUCUCGAUUUUUAGUGAGUGGGCCUGACAUCGGGGUGAUGUCAGGAAUUCCAAAAGGUUCGUCUCGGAUUUUGAGAAAAUUCGGGGCGGGUCCUUAAACAAUUCUGAGAGCAAAUUAAGGCCUCCACAAUCUUAGGAGUCAAAGAAGCACGAAAUGAAUUAAUUACCCGACCACCCGUGCUAAAGCAUGAUUCCGAAGCCACCGUUGAUACCAGGAUGGCAAGCACAUCCUUUGCAAUAAGUGCCAACCCCAGAUACUUAACCCCAUUCAAUUUCCACCACUUCAAAACAUCAAAUUCAUCAACCACAUCUUCAAUAGGGUUGGUGAUGUACCUAUCAAUCUCAUGCUCCAAUACCACAACAUCAUUUGCUGGAGUCUCUUUUCUCCAAUUUUCAGUCAUUUGCCUUCGUUUCUUUCCCCCUCAGUUUAGGCUACUACUUGUAUUCAUUGUAGUAGUAUCACUAGAAUAACUACUACUUUGAGUAGAUGGUGGUGGUGGUGGUGGUGGCAUGGCGUACUCUUCAUAAAGCUUCUUUAAAAUCUCUUUGAUCUCAUUCUUCUUUUUAACCGCAUCUUCCGGAUUCUCAAACCGACUUUUCAAGAUAAAUUCCAAGUUCCCCAAUUUGUAUUGAGGGUCAAGAACAAGAGCAACCAUCAAAAUUUAGUUCAAUUUAUCAAGGUCACCCCAAUACUUUUUAAACUUCAUCUUCAUAUUAAGUGUCAUGUCCUUCAAAACCUUGGAGGUUUGGGUUUCACUUAAUAUUUCCUCCUCUUCCAUCAACAAAUCCUCAAUUUAUUUUUCCAUUGCAAUCAAGUCAUGAAAUGUGGUGUGGGAAGCGGGAUGCAAAGUGACACUCAUCUUCAAUGUAGCAUCAUAAAAUACCUUUAAAAAAUUCACAAAGGUACGAGCAUUGUUCCAAUCCUCAUUAGUUGGUGGCCCUUCCCUCUUUCUAGGGUAAUGAGACAUAACCACCCCAUCUUAGACAUCCGGUUCAUCUUCACCAAACCAAGAAAUAUAUGGACCUUCAUCAUCUUCUCCCAUUCUCCAAAAGGCCUUUUCAAACUUCAAGGAGGCUUCCAACAUCAUAUAUGUGGAAUUCCACCUUGUUGGCACAUCCAACACCACAAGCCCUUUGCAUUUAAUUUGCUCUUUCUUAACGCAACUCUUAAAGUCUUCUAACCUUUUGGGAGAAGAUCUUACAUACUUCACCGCAUUUCUUAUACAUAAUAUGCUUUUUUUCAACUUCUUCAACCCAUCACGAACUAUUAAAUUCACAAUAUGAGCACAACACCUAAUGUGCAUAUACUUUCCCUCUAGUAGAAGACUACCGUUUCCCCAAUGGCCCAUUUUCGACUUCAAAUAAUCUAUAGCCUUUGUGUUUGAAGAAGCAUUAUCGGCCGUGAUGGUUAAUAUCUUCUUCAUAUUCCAAUCAAGCAAACAUGACUCAAGGAGUUUACCAAUUGAGUUCCCCUUGUGAUUGGAAAUGACACAAAAGUUCAAGAUUCUUUUGUGCAAGUUCCAAUCACCAUCUAUGAAGUGUGCCAUGAUGACCAUGUAAUUGAUGUUUUGAACACUUGUCCAAGUGUCCGUUGUGAGGCAUACUCUAUGUGAUGCUAAUUCUUCUUUCAAUUUUUGUUUCAUGGCAUCAUACAUUGCCAUGAAAUGCCUCACAAGUGUCCUACGAGAUGACACUUGAAAAUUGGGGUUCAAAGAAUUACAAAACCGCAUAAACCCUUUUCCUUCAACCACACUAAACGACAUCUCAUCCAUUACUACCAUCUCUACACAUGCCUUUAACCACUCUUCUUUCCCAUGCAUUGUUGAUGUAAGAACCCUAUGGUCUUGGUCAAAAGACAAGAGCUUUUGCCGUUUAUCUUUAAGAACCCUCCUCGGAUAUUUCUUACAUAGGUUUUCAAUAUGCUUCCUCAAAUUUAAGGUCCCAUUUCUAGUAGAGUCUACUGCAUAACUCAUACUGCAAUACUUGCACCUAGCUCUCUUCUUAGUGGUUGCAUAUUUGCUCCAAUCCUCCUUCACCCUCUCAACCACUUCUUCAUAUCUCUCAAAGUGAUCCCAUACUUUCGAUUUUUCUUUUCUUGGGCCGGAAUGAGGUAAUGGUGGAAUACCACUAGGUUGAGGUGGUGUUUGGGCAUGAGGUGUAUUUUGAGUUGGUGUUUGAGGGAUGGGUAAAUUGGGUAAAGGUGUUGAUAUAAAUGCGGAUGCGAAUGCGGAUGUGGAUACGGAUGCGGAUGACGAACCAACUUCACUAUUAGUAGGGCCAUGCACCUCUCCAAAUGGGUUCAACUCAUUCAUGAUUUCUUUAAGAAACAAAAACAAAAAACAAAGAAAAAAACUUAACAUGAUAUAUAUUAACAAAAACACAGCUUAACAACAUAAACAACACCUCAUAUAUACAAUCCAACUAAAUGAUAAUAUCAACACUUAACUAGAAAGCAACUGACGCAGCACAAGUAACAAAGGUUUCAAGCGAAACCUUGAGUAACAAGAAAUCUGGAUUCCACCAGAAAUUAAGAGGAAUUCCCUUGGGAUAAUUGUAUUAAAAUCUGAGCUAAUGAAAAACGACAGACAAGCCUGUCUAAAUACACAAUUCUCAACCCUUGAACUGCCAGGGGAGUUAUUACAUUAAAACUGAAAAAACAGAAUUAAUUCGGAGACUUAACUACGUAACUCCGAAACUGAAAACAGAAUUUAUUCGGAUAAUUAACUACGAACUUUGAAAGCAGUUUUGGAAGGCCAAACGACCUCAGAAUGCCAAAAUCCAUCAUACAUCAUAGCAAAGCGGUGAGUUUGACUCGUGGCGUCGUUCCCUUUCUGAAAUGGCAUUUUGCGUCCUAAUCGGAGCUCGGACGACAAAUCUGCAAAUUCCCGCUACGUCCUUUUUCUAGCUCAACCGCGAUAAAAUCUGCCAUCUGUUCUACAUCAGCAACUGAAAAACAGAAAUCAAUUAACUGAAAAACAGAAACCAAUUAACUGAAAAACUGAAAAACGGAACAACAAAUCUGUUAUGCACUGUCAAUUAAUCAAUUAAUCCUUUUGAAUGCACAACCAAUUAAUAAAUUUGAAUGCACACUAGUAAAUCAAACCGAAACACCAAACAAAAGUCAACUACAAGCUAACAACACUUAACUAGAAAGCAACUAAAAAACAGAAACCAAUUAACUAGACUUAAGCCAAGCAAGAAAAUAUAGGGUUUCAAAUUGCAGUUUUGACAAAUAUGACCUCUGUUCAGUUUUUAGCCUUUAACUUUCAGACCACUAGCCCAAUUUUGACAUUCUUUGCAUCAUUGGAUUCAGCACGAAAAAACAAAGAAUCCUAAGCAAGCCAAUUUCUCAAAAUAAUUGCCUAUGACAGCAGUAAUAAAGCAAAACGAAAAACUGAAAAUCUCAAAAUUUGCAAAACUGAAAAUCUGCAAAACUGAAAAACUGAAAACUGAACAGAAAAUCUGUUAUGCACUGUCAAUUAAUCAAUUAAUCAAUUUGAAUGCACAACCAAUUAAUCAAUUUGAAUGCACACUAGUAAAUCAAACCGAAACACCAUAUCUAAUUCCCUAAACAAAUAAUGAGCAGAAAUAUAUAGACUACAGUCAUGAAAGUUUGAUAAAAAUACAAAUGCAAACAGAUUGGAAAUAACAAUAUUGAUUAUUGAAGAUUAACCAUUUACAGAAGAGUGAGAAAUUCACCUUUGGCACUGAGAGAGUCUUCAAUGGAAAACUGACCAGGAAGAGUGCGCGGCUGCGUCAAUGGGAGAAAAAAAAGAGUGCGUCUGCUGGAAGCUGCAACCUGCUCCAGAAAUAUGGAUGAUGAUCUGCACGAACUGCUGAUGGAGGACAUAGAGAUGGUCAGACAGAGAAUCGAAGGGGGAAAAGAAACAAAAAGAAAAAACAAAGAAAAAAGAAAGCCAGAAUCGAACCUGCUGACGACGGCGCGACGGCUGAAGAAGAACAAGGAUGGCUGCAAGAGUGCUGGAAGCUGCAGAGGAAAAGAGAUGUUCAGGUUCGCGGCUCUCAGAUCAGACAGAGAGAGGAAAUAAAAUUGAAGAAGGAAGAAAGAAACCCCCAAAUCAUGUUUUAGUUGUGAUGAUCCUCUGUGUGUGUGCGUACGGUAGUAGUUUAGACAGCCAAUACAAAAUAGCCACAUGUUAACUAUAUAUAUAAAAUAUAAAAUAUAAAUAUAUAUAAUAUAAAAAUAUAUAUUAAUUAAUUAUAUUGGACCGGUUCGGAUUGGACCGGUUCCUUGUAGUAGAAAAUCGAAAUUGGAAUCAGUCUGAACCGGUUCGAUUCGGAUUUGACUCAGUUUUUGACUUUUUUAGUUAACACGGUUUUUUUAAGAUUUUUUCGGUUUGGUUUGGUUCGGUUUUGCGAUUUUGCGGUUCUAAUGCCCAUCCCUAGUGGCUACUAUUGCAAGGGCCUCGUCAUCUUGAGAGACCUUGUCAAGUACCUCCCAUCCGUACAUACAUCUUUGCAACUUUUUGAGAUGUUUGCAGUGCUUUCCAAUUGCCUCAAGUGCAGGAUCUGCAAAACACCUCUCUUCCCCAGCACAGCCUGCAACUUUAAACUUCGAGAACUUGGUCACGUUUUGAAAAACAAUUGGUAUGGUUUCAGAUUGAUAGAAAUCAUAGAUUCGCAUCGCCUACUUGCUGAAAGCACAAAUAGAAUUGCAUAUCUGUAUUGCUUGAAUGAAGACACCUGAUCGGCCCGACUUUCCCAAAUGCCCGCCACAGGCCUUGCUCCUUUCUGAGUUGAUUUUUUCAAGGGCGUGAUUUUGAUUCCUCCAUAUUAGUCCAAAUGGUUGAACUAAAAUGUUAGGCCCUCACUGUUACUCUUUUAUUAAAUUUCAAUCUCUCUGAACCCAACAACAAAUUCAAGUGAGAGAAAUAUUGAAUAAUGGAGGUGGAAUUUACAGAGGCACGCAACAGAUCUGGAGGAAGCUACAUCUGGAGGAAGCUACAGAGGCACGCAGCAGAUCUGGGUAUGGGGCUUGGUCGACGUCGAAAACCUAGGUGGGGUUGAGAGAUUUCGGGGCGAUCGGUGUGAUGGGCAAUUAGCAAAGGCGAUAGGUCUUCGUCGAUGAACAAGAACUUGCAGACGAAGGGGAUGAACAAGAGCAGAGACUCAAUUCCAACUUUGAUGAAGACGUUGGCCUAGAUCAACCCACAGAGAGAGAGAGAGAGAGAGAGAGAGAGAGAGAGAGAGAGAGAGAGAGAGAGAGAGAGAGAGAGAGAGAGAGAGAGAGAGAGAGAGAAGAUGAGUUUUUUUUUUUUUGGGUUUUCAGAUUUUUUUAAUUGUUUUUUAAUUUUUUAUAUUAAUUUUAUGUCUUAUGUGGAGUCCGCACAGUUAAAAAAAGGGUCCCACAAAUGUCACGUAGGCAAAUAACGAAUUUUGUGACGAUCUCGCUAAUGGAGGGGGUAAAUUGUAGGUUUUCCGCGACGUUGAGUAUGUACUCAUAAAUGUUCCCAAAAUCAGGUAUGCACUCGUAAAUGACCCUAUAGGUUGAGGGGUUUACUGUAGUUUAUCAUAAUAUUUUAUAUAUAUUUGUAUAAAACAGAGCUGCCCACUUGAGCAAUUAGUUCAUUUGGAUUCAAUAAUCUAUAUUUUUAAUAGAUAAUGAAAGACUCAAAUGAUGUGACCAACUUUGAUGAAUAUUAUGAGGAAUGUGACGAAAAGAUCAAAUUAAUGUGCAAAUUAAAAAUUUAAAGAUUAC
rnacentral:lncRNA from 1 species